rnacentral:lncRNA from 1 species
CAGGGAUUCUACCUUGUUCCGUCACAGUGGGGAGCCAGCGGAGGGGUCGUAAACCAGGGCGGGGCUGGAUUUGAUUUGCAUUUUAAAACGAUUGUUCUGAGCUCCACCGAGAGCAGGGUUUGCAGCCCGUGGGGACAGAAGGAGUCUGCAGGCACGGCCUCAGUGAGAGACAGGGCUUCUGCCAGGCUGGGCCGUGGGGCCCUGGGGAAGAGCGGCGAUGCAGAUCUGAAAAUGCUUAUCCCCUAGGUGGAUGCCCACCUGCAGAGCUUCAAGACUAGAAGGAGGAUGCCAGAGCCAGCAUUUCUCCAAGCGGGCAGACCCUGCCGGGGCGGAGCAGAGGGAGCAUUCAACAGACAGCGGCCGCAAACCUGGCGGUUUCCACCUCCAGUCCCGGGGAGCUGUUAGAACCCAAACUAUCAAAAUGGCAACAUUUAAUUGAACAGCUGUUUGCAAAUCACAUGCUUAUUAGCUGCACGCUGAAAAAAAUAAAAAGGCCUACUUGUAUUUCAGUCUACUGACCAUCAAGAGCCCCCGUUAUGGUUAGAAUUCUCUUGAUUGUAAGCAAGAGCACGGUCACCUGCUAACACAGGAGAAAGACCCACACGCUGGCAUGGGGAGGGUGAGGCCCCAGGCAGCUUUGGGCACUAGCUACAUUCUCUCCUCUCUUCUGGGCGACUUUCUUCUUCCCUCUCUCUGCUCAGCUGGUCCAAAAUGGCUUCCUCUGGACAUCCUACCUUCUCUCCCUCACCCCGUCACGUUUACAUGGGCUGCGUCUUCACCCUGGACUGUUUUCUCUCCCCUUCUUAGCCUGGCUGCAUCCUGCCUGUGGCUUCAGUCUUCUCAGGUGCAGCCUUUUCUAGGUAGCUGCCCUCGAUCCCCAAGGCUGGGGUCCCCGAGCCCACCUGUAAGCUCCCGUGUUCGCUGGUGCUAACUAUGCCAUCUUAGGUCUUUCCACUCUGCAGUGUAAUUGCCG